CUCCUGACUGACCGAUAGUGAACCAGUACCGUGAGGGAAAGGCGAAAAGAACCCCGGCGAGGGGAGUGAAAAAGAACCUGAAACCGUGUACGUACAAGCAGUGGGAGCACAGGUUUACCUGUGUGACUGCGUACCUUUUGUAUAAUGGGUCAGCGACUUAUAUUCUGUAGCAAGGUUAACCGAAUAGGGGAGCCGGAGGGAAACCGAGUCUUAAUUGGGCGUUAAGUUGCAGGGUAUAGACCCGAAACCCGGUGAUCUAGCCAUGGGCAGGUUGAAGGUUGGGUAACACUAACUGGAGGACCGAACCGACUAAUGUUGAAAAAUUAGCGGAUGACCUGUGGCUGGGGGUGAAAGGCCAAUCAAACCGGGAGAUAGCUGGUUCUCCCCGAAAGCUAUUUAGGUAGCGCCUCGUGAAUUCAUCUCCGGGGGUAGAGCACUGUUUCGGCUAGGGGGCCAUCCCGGCUUACCAACCCGAUGCAAACUGCGAAUACCGGAGAAUGUUAUCACGGGAGACACACGGCGGGUGCUAACGUCCGUCGUGAAGAGGGAAACAACCCAGACCGCCAGCUAAGGUCCCAAAGUCAUGGUUAAGUGGGAAACGAUGUGGGAAGGCCCAGACAGCCAGGAUGUUGGCUUAGAAGCAGCCAUCAUUUAAAGAAAGCGUAAUAGCUCACUGGUCGAGUCGGCCUGCGCGGAAGAUGUAACGGGGCUAAACCAUG
rnacentral:rRNA from 1 species